rnacentral:rRNA from 2 species
AGAGUUUGAUCAUGGCUCAGAUUGAACGCUGGCGGCAGGCCUAACACAUGCAAGUCGAACGGUAACAGGAAGCAGCUUGCUGCUUUGCUGACGAGUGGCGGACGGGGGAGUAAUGUCUGGGAAACUGCCUGAUGGAGGGGGAUAACUACUGGAAACGGUAGCUAAUACCGCAUAACGUCGCAAGACCAAAGAGGGGGACCUUCGGGCCUCUUGCCAUCGGAUGUGCCCAGAUGGGAUUAGCUAGUAGGUGGGGUAAAGGCUCACCUAGGCGACGAUCCCUAGCUGGUCUGAGAGGAUGACCAGCCACACUGGAACUGAGACACGGUCCAGACUCCUACGGGAGGCAGCAGUGGGGAAUAUUGCACAAUGGGCGCAAGCCUGAUGCAGCCAUGCCGCGUGUAUGAAGAAGGCCUUCGGGUUGUAAAGUACUUUCAGCGGGGAGGAAGGGAGUAAAGUUAAUACCUUUGCUCAUUGACGUUACCCGCAGAAGAAGCACCGGCUAACUCCGUGCCAGCAGCCGCGGUAAUACGGAGGGUGCAAGCGUUAAUCGGAAUUACUGGGCGUAAAGCGCACGCAGGCGGUUUGUUAAGUCAGAUGUGAAAUCCCCGGGCUCAACCUGGGAACUGCAUCUGAUACUGGCAAGCUUGAGUCUCGUAGAGGGGGGUAGAAUUCCAGGUGUAGCGGUGAAAUGCGUAGAGAUCUGGAGGAAUACCGGUGGCGAAGGCGGCCCCCUGGACGAAGACUGACGCUCAGGUGCGAAAGCGUGGGGAGCAAACAGGAUUAGAUACCCUGGUAGUCCACGCCGUAAACGAUGUCGACUUGGAGGUUGUGCCCUUGAGGCGUGGCUUCCGGAGCUAACGCGUUAAGUCGACCGCCUGGGGAGUACGGCCGCAAGGUUAAAACUCAAAUGAAUUGACGGGGGCCCGCACAAGCGGUGGAGCAUGUGGUUUAAUUCGAUGCAACGCGAAGAACCUUACCUGGUCUUGACAUCCACGGAAGUUUUCAGAGAUGAGAAUGUGCCUUCGGGAACCGUGAGACAGGUGCUGCAUGGCUGUCGUCAGCUCGUGUUGUGAAAUGUUGGGUUAAGUCCCGCAACGAGCGCAACCCUUAUCCUUUGUUGCCAGCGGUCCGGCCGGGAACUCAAAGGAGACUGCCAGUGAUAAACUGGAGGAAGGUGGGGAUGACGUCAAGUCAUCAUGGCCCUUACGACCAGGGCUACACACGUGCUACAAUGGCGCAUACAAAGAGAAGCGACCUCGCGAGAGCAAGCGGACCUCAUAAAGUGCGUCGUAGUCCGGAUUGGAGUCUGCAACUCGACUCCAUGAAGUCGGAAUCGCUAGUAAUCGUGGAUCAGAAUGCCACGGUGAAUACGUUCCCGGGCCUUGUACACACCGCCCGUCACACCAUGGGAGUGGGUUGCAAAAGAAGUAGGUAGCUUAACCUUCGGGAGGGCGCUUACCACUUUGUGAUUCAUGACUGGGGUGAAGUCGUAACAAGGUAACCGUAGGGGAACCUGCGGUUGGAUCACCU